UACGGAGGAUGCGAGCGUUAUCCGGAUUUAUUGGGCGUAAAGAGCGCGCAGGUGGUUGAUUAAGUCUGAUGUGAAAGCCCACGGCUUAACCGUGGAGGGUCAUUGGAAACUGGUCGACUUGAGUGCAGAAGAGGGAAGUGGAAUUCCAUGUGUAGCGGUGAAAUGCGUAGAGAUGUGGAGGAACACCAGUGGCGAAGGCGACUCUCUGGUCUGUAACUGACGCUGAGGUGCGAAAGCGUGGGUAGCAAACAGGAUUA
rnacentral:rRNA from 1 species